rnacentral:rRNA from 1 species
AACGAACGCUGGCGGCAGGCUUAACACAUGCAAGUCGAACGCCCCGCAAGGGGAGUGGCAGACGGGUGAGUAACACGUGGGAACGUGCCCUAAGGUUCGGAAUAUUCCCGGGAAACUGGGAGCAAUACCGAAUGUGUCCGCAAGGAGAAAGAUUUAUCGCCUUAGGAUCGGCCCGCGACGGAUUAGCUAGUUGGCGGGGUAAAAGCCCACCAAGGCGACGAUCCGUAGCUGGUCUGAGAGGACGACCAGCCACACUGGGACUGAGACACGGCCCAGACUCCUACGGGAGGCAGCAGUGGGGAAUCUUGGACAAUGGGCGAAAGCCUGAUCCAGCCAUGCCGCGUGGAUGAUGAAGGCCCUAGGGUUGUAAAAUCCUUUCGUUGGGGACGAUAAUGACGGUACCCAAAGAAGAAGCUCCGGCUAACUUCGUGCCAGCAGCCGCGGUAAUACGAAGGGGGCUAGCGUUGUUCGGAUUUACUGGGCGUAAAGCGCGUGUAGGCGGACUUGUAAGUUGGGGGUGAAAUCCCGAGGCU